rnacentral:pre_miRNA from 1 species
ACAUCCCUUCUGUCUGCACCUGUGGGGAAAAUCUUAAGGUUUAGUCAGGUGGGGUGUGA